GACGAACGCUGGCGGCGUGCCUAAUACAUGCAAGUAGAACGCAGUUGCGAACGGGUGAGUAACGCGUAGGUAACUGCCCCAUAGCGGGGGAUAACUAUUGGAAACGAUAGCUAAUACCGCAUACUGUGAGAUGGACCUGCGUGGUAUUAGCUCGUUGGUGAGGUAAAGGCACACCAAGGCGACGAUACAUAGCCGAGCUGAGAGGGUGAUCGGCCACACAUGGACUGAGAAACCGCACAGACUCCUACGGGAGGGAGCAGUAGGGAAUCUUCGGCAAGUGACGGAAGUAUGACCGAGCAACGCCGCGUGAGUGAAGAAGGUAGUCGGAGCGUGAAGCUCUGUUGUUAGGGAAGCGGUAACUAAACAGAAAGGGACGGCUAACUACGUGCCAGCAGCCGCGGUAAUUC
rnacentral:rRNA from 1 species